UUACCAUGCAGUCGAACGAUGAUGCCCUGCUUGCAGGGUGGAUUAGUGGCGAACGGGUGAGUAACACGUGGGUGAUCUGCCCCGCACUUCGGGAUAAGCCUGGGAAACUGGGUCUAAUACCGGAUACGACCCCCUGGUAGGUCAGGGGGUGGAAAGAUUUUAUCGGUGUGGGAUGAGCCUGCGGCCUAUCAGCUUGUUGGUGGGGUAAUGGCCUACCAAGGCGUCGACGGGUAGCCGGCCUGAGAGGGUGAUCGGCCACAUUGGGACUGAGACACGGCCCAGACUCCUACGGGAGGCAGCAGUGGGGAAUAUUGCACAAUGGGCGCAAGCCUGAUGCAGCGACGCCGCGUGGGGGAUGACGGCCUUCGGGUUGUAAACUCCUUUCGACAGGGACGAAGCUUAUGUGACGGUACCUGUAGAAGAAGCACCGGCUAACUACGUGCCAGCAGCCGCGGUAAUACGUAGGGUGCGAGCGUUGUCCGGAAUUACUGGGCGUAAAGAGCUCGUAGGUGGUUUGUCGCGUCGUCUGUGAAAUCCCGGGGCUUAACCUCGGGCGUGCAGGCGAUACGGGCAUAACUUGAGUGCUGUAGGGGAGACUGGAAUUCCUGGUGUAGCGGUGAAAUGCGCAGAUAUCAGGAGGAACACCAAUGGCGAAGGCAGGUCUCUGGGCAGUAACUGACGCUGAGGAGCGAAAGCAUGGGUAGCGAACAGGAUUAGAUACCCUGGUAGUCCAUGCCGUAAACGGUGGGCGCUAGGUGUAGGGGACUUCCACGUCUUCUGUGCCGCAGCUAACGCAUUAA
rnacentral:rRNA from 1 species